rnacentral:rRNA from 1 species
GAUGAACGCUGGCGGCGUGCCUAAUACAUGCAAGUCGAGCGAACAGACGAGGAGCUUGCUCCUCUGACGUUAGCGGCGGACGGGUGAGUAACACGUGGAUAACCUACCUAUAAGACUGGGAUAACUUCGGGAAACCGGAGCUACUACCGGAUAAUAUAUUGAACCGCAUGGUUCAAUAGUGAAAGACGGUUUUGCUGUCACUUAUAGAUGGAUCCGCGCCGCAUUAGCUAGUUGGUAAGGUAACGGCUUACCAAGGCAACGAUGCGUAGCCGACCUGAGAGGGUGAUCGGCCACACGGGAACUGAGACACGGUCCAGACUCCUAGGGGAGGCAGCAGUAGGGAAUCUUCCGCGAGGGGCGAAAGCGGGACGGAGCAACGCCGCGUGAGGGAUGAAGGUCUUCGGAUCGUAAAACGCUGUUAUUAGGGAAGAACAAAUGUGUAAGUAACUAUGCACGUCUUGACGGUACCUAAACAGAAAGCCACGGCUAACUACGUG